ACAGAGGGGGCGAGCGUUGUUCGGAAUUACUGGGCGUAAAGGGCGCGUAGGUGGCCUGUUAAGUCGAACGUGAAAUCCCCGGGCUCAACCCGGGAACUGCGUCCGAGACUGGCAGGCUUGAAUCCGGGAGAGGGAUGUGGAAUUCCAGGUGUAGCGGUGAAAUUCGUAGAUAUUGGGAAGAACACCGGUGGCGAAGGCGACCAACUGGACCACAACUGACGCUGAGGAGCGAAAGCGUGGGGAGCAAACCGGA
rnacentral:rRNA from 1 species